AUUGAACGCUGGCGGAAUGCUUUACACAUGCAAGUCGAACGGCAGCACGGGGGCAACCCUGGUGGCGAGUGGCGAACGGGUGAGUGAUACAUCGGAACGUGCCCAGUCGUGGGGGAUAACGUAGCGAAAGUUACGCUAAUACCGCAUACGAUCUACGGAUGAAAGCGGGGGACCGUAAGGCCUCGCGCGAUUGGAGCGGCCGAUGUCAGAUUAGGUAGUUGGUGAGGUAAAGGCUCACCAAGCCGACGAUCUGUAGCUGGUCUGAGAGGACGACCAGCCACACUGGGACUGAGACACGGCCCAGACUCCGACGGGAGGCAGCAGUGGGGAAUUUUGGACAAUGGGCGCAAGCCUGAUCCAGCCAUUCCGCGUGCAGGACGAAGGCCUUCGGGUUGUAAACUGCUUUUGUACGGAACGAAAAGGCUCUGGUUAAUACCUGGGGCUCAUGACGGUACCGUAAGAAUAAGCACCGGCUAACUACGUGCCAGCCGCCGCAGUAA
rnacentral:rRNA from 1 species